rnacentral:rRNA from 1 species
GACGAACGCUGGCGGCGUGCCUAAUACAUGCAAGUAGAACGCUGAAGAGAGGAGCUUGCUCUUCUUGGAUGAGUUGCGAACGGGUGAGUAACGCGUAGGUAACCUGCCUUGUAGCGGGGGAUAACUAUUGGAAACGAUAGCUAAUACCGCAUAACAAUGGAUGACACAUGUCAUUUAUUUGAAAGGGGCAAUUGCUCCACUACAAGAUGGACCUGCGUUGUAUUAGCUAGUAGGUGAGGUAACGGCUCACCUAGGCGACGAUACAUAGCCGACCCGAGAGGGUGAUCGGCCACACUGGGACUGAGACACGGCCCAGACUCCUACGGGAGGCAGCAGUAGGGAAUCUUCGGCAAUGGGGGCAACCCUGACCGAGCAACGCCGCGUGAGUGAAGAAGGUUUUCGGAUCGUAAAGCUCUGUUGUAAGUCAAGAACGAGUGUGAGAGUGGAAAGUUCACACUGUGACGGUAGCUUACCAGAAAGGGACGGCUAACUACGUGCCAGCAGCCGCGGUAAUACGUAGGUCCCGAGCGUUGUCCGGAUUUAUUGGGCGUAAAGCGAGCGCAGGCGGUUUGAUAAGUCUGAAGUUAAAGGCUGUGGCUCAACCAUAGUUCGCUUUGGAAACUGUCAAACUUGAGUGCAGAAGGGGAGAGUGGAAUUCCAUGUGUAGCGGUGAAAUGCGUAGAUAUAUGGAGGAACACCGGUGGCGAAAGCGGCUCUCUGGUCUGUAACUGACGCUGAGGCUCGAAAGCGUGGGGAGCGAACAGGAUUAGAUACCCUGGUAGUCCACGCCGUAAACGAUGAGUGCUAGGUGUUGGAUCCUUUCCGGGAUUCAGUGCCGCAGCUAACGCAUUAAGCACUCCGCCUGGGGAGUACGACCGCAAGGUUGAAACUCAAAGGAAUUGACGGGGGCCCGCACAAGCGGUGGAGCAUGUGGUUUAAUUCGAAGCAACGCGAAGAACCUUACCAGGUCUUGACAUCCCGAUGCUAUUUCUAGAGAUAGAAAGUUACUUCGGUACAUCGGUGACAGGUGGUGCAUGGUUGUCGUCAGCUCGUGUCGUGAGAUGUUGGGUUAAGUCCCGCAACGAGCGCAACCCCUAUUGUUAGUCGCCAUCAUUCAGUUGGGCACUCUAGCGAGACUGCCGGUAAUAAACCGGAGGAAGGUGGGGAUGACGUCAAAUCAUCAUGCCCCUUAUGACCUGGGCUACACACGUGCUACAAUGGUUGGUACAACGAGUUGCGAGUCGGUGACGGCGAGCUAAUCUCUUAAAGCCAAUCUCAGUUCGGAUUGUAGGCUGCAACUCGCCUACAUGAAGUCGGAAUCGCUAGUAAUCGCGGAUCAGCACGCUGCGGUGAAUACGUUCCCGGGCCU